GCAAAGCUUGUGAUUUCCAUAACUUCGAGUGAGCUAGUUGCGGGCUAUGCUUUAGUGAGUUCCUGAUAAACCAAAUGUGUAAUCAUUUCCUCAGGGUCUGCACUGUAGUUCACCCUCGAAGCAUGACAUUUUUGGAUGCACUAGCUUCUGGCUUGGUUUCUUUGUAGCAUGGCAUUGCAGCAGGCCUGAACAUGGGCCUAUGCAGCAGGGUGUAGUUAGGUUAUUUUGACUGGUGUUUCAAUAUGGUUUGGCAGCAUGAUGCAUUGACUCAUGACAUAGUUGAAAUCCCACACAUUUUGAUUGGUGACUUAAUAAUGCCACCGAUGUGAUACACACAGACUUUGAGUUGGUUUUCCUCAUGGUUUCACAAGUUCAUGGCAAAAUUGCAACUUGGUCAUGUGCCUUCAGCAAGUAUAAUGCCUUGUUCCCCUUCUUUAAGUGCAGUAGGUGUGACAUUUAUGAGGAUUAGAUGGUCAACUGCUAGCUCUGGGAAGGUUGAAUUGCAGGGCUGCUACAACAGAGUGCUCAUGAUGAUGGU